CUACGGGAGGCACCAGUGGGGAAUAUUGGGCAAUGGGCGAAAGCCUGACCCAGCAACGCCGCGUGAAGGAAGAAGGUUUUCGGAUCGUAAACUUCUAUCCCAGGUGAAGAUAAUGACGGUAGCCUGGAAGGAAGCCCCGGCUAACUACGUGCCAGCAGCCGCGGUAAUACGUAGGGGGCAAGCGUUGUCCGGAAUGAUUGGGCGUAAAGGGCGCGUAGGCGGCCUUUUAAGUCCGAUGUGAAAGUCCUGCUUUUAAGGUGGGAAUUGCAUUGGAAACUGGAGGGCUUGAGUGCAGGAGAGGUAAGUGGAAUUCCCGGUGUAGCGGUGAAAUGCGUAGAGAUCGGGAGGAACACCAGUGGCGAAGGCGACUUACUGGACUGUAACUGACGCUGAGGCGCGAAAGUGUGGGGAGCAAACAGGAUUAGAUACCCCCGUAGUC
rnacentral:rRNA from 1 species